UUAACUUUCACAGUUUCUUUCACAGUCGUCUUUAACCAGGUCGCCUGCUGCUCUGAAGAAAAGACGUUUCAAAUCCAGGACCAGAGAAGUUCCCCAACACCACUAUGAGGCUUUUUUGGAUCCUUCUUACCAUCCACACCGAAUCUCCAGUCGUUUGGAAGACAACGGUGGACCCAGAGGAGUCUCUCCAUUUGGAUCCAGGGACAGCCAUACCUUCCCACAACAAAUGCAUUCUGCAUUUAUCAUAGAGGAUGAAGGGCAGACGACUCACGA